rnacentral:rRNA from 1 species
GACGAACGCUGGCGGCGUGCCUAAUACAUGCAAGUAGGACGCAGUUGCGAACGGGUGAGUAACGCGUAGGUAACUACCUAUUAGAGGGGGAUAACUAUUGGAAACGUUAUCUAAUACCGCCUACUAGUAGAUGGACCUGCGUUGUAUUAGCUAGUAGGUAGGGUAAUGGCCUACCUAGGCAACGAUACAUAGCCGACCUGAGAGGGUGAUCGGCCAAAAUGGGACUGGGACACGGCCCAGACUCCUACGGGAGGCAGGAGUAGGGAAUCGUCGGCAAUGGGGGGAACCCUGACAGAGGAAAGCCGGGGGAGUGAAGAAGGUUGUUGGAGCGUAAAGCUAGGUUGUUAAGGAAGCGGUACUUAACCAGAAAGGGACGGCUAACUACGUGCCAGCAGCCGCGGUAAUUC